rnacentral:rRNA from 1 species
UACAGAGGAUGCAAGCGUUAUCCGGAAUGAUUGGGCGUAAAGCGUCUGUAGGUGGCUUUUUAAGUCCGCCGUCAAAUCCCAGGGCUCAACUCUGGACAGGCGGUGGAAACUACCAAGCUGGAGUACGGUAGGGGCAGAGGGAAUUUCCGGUGGAGCGGUGAAAUGCGCAGAUAUCAGGAGGAACACCGGUGGCGAAGGCGGGUCUCUGGGCCGAUACUGACGCUGAGGAGCGAAAGCAUGGGUAGCGAACAGG